ACAGGUGAAAGAAGAAAAGUCUAGCUGCACAAUGAAGUCUUUUACACUACAUCCAUUUGCAUUUCCAAUGAAUGUUGACUGCAUACCACAGGCAGUUUUUCCUGUAUAUUCCUGAUCCAGCAAUACAGAUGGAACCAUAUAAAUUCUAAGUGUGUCUUUGGGAUAGACUCCUGGAAGAAGGACUGACAGCUACCAAAGACACAUUAAUAAUGUAUUCAAAUGCCUGUUUCUCACCCUUAACCUUGCCAGUAUAAGUGAAUAUCAAACUUUUGGAUUUAUGCCAAUAUAAUAGCUAAAAAAGAU